UACGAAGGGUGCAAGCGUUACUCGGAAUUACUGGGCGUAAAGGGCGCGUAGGCGGCUUGGCAAGUGGAAGGUGAAAUCCCUCGGCUUAACCGAGGAACUGCCCUCCAAACUGCUUCGCUUGAGACCGGGAGAGGUGAGUGGAAUUCCCAGUGUAGCGGUGAAAUGCGUAGAUAUUGGGAGGAACACCAGUGGCGAAGGCGGUUCACUGGACCGGUACUGACGCUGAUGCGCGAAAAGCGUGGGGAGCAAACGGGG
rnacentral:rRNA from 1 species